AGAGUUUGAUCCUGGCUCAGGAUGAACGCUAGCGGCAGGCUUCAUACAUGCAAGUCGAGGGGCAGCAUAAAUUACUUGUAAUUUGAUGGCGACCGGCGAACGGGUGCGUAACGCGUAUGCAACUUACCUUUUACUAGAGAAUAGCCAAGAGAAAUUUUGAUUAAUGCUCUAUGUUCUUAUUUACUCGCAUGAGUAAAUAAGCAAAGCUCCGGCGGUAAAAGAUGGGCAUGCGUCCUAUUAGCUUGUAGGUGAGGUAAUGGCUCACCUAAGCUCCGAUAGGUAGGGGUCCUGAGAGGGAGAUCCCCCACACUGGUACUGAGACACGGACCAGACUUCUACGGAAGGCAGCAGUAAGGAAUAUUGGACAAUGGAGGCAACUCUGAUCCAGCCAUGCCGCGUGAAGGAAGACGGCCUUAUGGGUUGUAAACUUCUUUUAUACAGGAAGAAACCUUUCCACGUGUGGAAAGUUGACGGUACUGUAAGAAUAAGGAUCGGCUAACUCCGUGCCAGCAGCCGCGGUAAUACGGAGGAUCCAAGCGUUAUCCGGAAUUAUUGGGUUUAAAGGGUCCGCAGGCUGUUUGUUAAGUCAGAGGUGAAAUCCUACCGCUCAACGGUAGAACUGCCUUUGAUACUGGCAAACUUGAGUUAUUGUGAAGUAGUUAGAAUGUGUAGUGUAGCGGUGAAAUGCAUAGAUAUUACACAGAAUACCGAUUGCGAAAGCAGAUUACUAACAAUAUACUGACGCCGAGGGACGAAAGCGUGGGUAGCGAACAGGAUUAGAUACCCUGGUAGUCCACGCCGUAAACGAUGGUCACUAGCUGUUCGACGUACAUUGGUACGUUGAGUGGCUAAGCGAAAGUGAUAAGUAUCCCACCUGGGGAGUACGCUCGCAAGAGUGAAACUCAAGGGAAUUGACGG
rnacentral:rRNA from 1 species